ACCAGACUCCUACGGGAGGCAGCAGUGGGGGAUACUGCACAAUGGGGGGAACCCUGAUGCAGCGACGCCGCGUGGGUGAAGGAGCAUCUCGGUGCGUAAAGCCCUAUCGGCAGGGAAGAAAAGCGAACAGGUUCGCCUGGACGGUACCUGACUAAGAAGCCCCGGCUAACUACGUGCCAGCAGCCGCGGUAAUACGUAGGGGGCAAGCGUUAUCCGGAUUCACUGGGUGUAAAGGGAGCGUAGACGGCGACGCAAGUCUGGAGUGAAAGCCCGGGGCCCAACCCCGGGACUGCUCUGGAAACUGCGUCGCUGGAGUACGGGAGAGGCAGGCGGAAUUCCUAGUGUAGCGGUGAAAUGCGUAGAUAUUAGGAGGAACACCAGUGGCGAAGGCGGCCUGCUGGACGACAACUGACGGUGAGGCGCGAAAGCGUGGGGAGCAAACAGGAUUAGAUACCCGAGUA
rnacentral:rRNA from 1 species